rnacentral:misc_RNA from 1 species
CUUGCUGGAUGAAGUUCUUCAAGUGAGUCUAAACCAUUUUUUCCCCAUUAUGAUCUUUGAAUUGACAUGAACUUAUCUGUGAAGGUUUGCAGUUCUAUUAGCACUUUUAAGUGAAAGAUGCAAGUACAAUAAUACCACACUAGUAAAAUUUUAGUUAUGAAGACCUUGCAAUAUAGUUACAAAGAUAGACAUUUUCAAUUUUCUCAAUGAUAACUGGAGAUAUAUAAUAUACAAGCAAAUUCUAGCUCUCAAGUCUCAACAAGUCAACAGACUGCACUGAAAUGGUUUAAGGGGUUCAGUCAUUUAAAUUUGCAUUAAAAAAUGUUUAAAAUAACAUUAUCUCAAGUUUUUUUAUGAUCAUUACUGACAGAAAUGGAAAAGGAGCAUGCAUGCAUCAUCAACUCUUUUCUUUUGAUGGUGAUGUAACUUUUCAGGUAUCAAGUGAGGAAGCUAUUGAA